rnacentral:rRNA from 1 species
UGUUUCGGCUAGGGGGUCAUCCCGACUUACCAACCCGAUGCAAACUACGAAUACCGAAGAAUGUUAUCACGGGAGACACACGGCGGGUGCUAACGUCCGUCGUGAAGAGGGAAACAACCCAGACCGCCAGCUAAGGUCCCAAAGUCAUGGUUAAGUGGGAAACGAUGUGGGAAGGCACAGACAGCCAGGAUGUUGGCUUAGAAGCAGCCAUCAUUUAAAGAAAGCGUAAUAGCUCACUGGUCGAGUCGGCCUGCGCGGAAGAUGUAACGGGGCUAAACCAUGCACCGAAGCUGCGGCAGCGACACUAUGUGUU